GCCAGCCAGCCGUCUCGAGUUACCAGCAGAUCCUGCAAAAGUUCCAGGUGCCCACACUGGAAACUUGGAGAUCCUGCUUCCCAGACCACAGCUGUGGGGAACUUGGGGUGGAGCAGAGAAGUUUCUGUAUUCAGCUGCCCAGGCAGAGGAGAAUGGGGUCUCCACAGCCUGAAGAAUGAAGACACGACAGAAUAAAGACUCGAUGUCAAUGAGGAGUGGACGGAAGAAAGAGGCCCCUGGGCCCCGGGAAGAACUGAGAUCGAGGGGCCGGGCCUCCCCUGGAGGGGUCAGCACGUCCAGCAGUGAUGGCAAAGCUGAGAAGUCCAGGCAGACAGCCAAGAAGGCCCGAGUAGAGGAAGCCUCCACCCCAAAGGUCAACAAGCAGGGUCGGAGUGAGGAGAUCUCAGAGAGUGAAAGUGAGGAGACCAAUGCACCAAAAAAGACCAAAACUGAGGAACUCCCUCGGCCACAGUCUCCCUCCGAUCUGGAUAGCUUGGACGGGCGGAGCCUUAAUGAUG
rnacentral:lncRNA from 1 species